UUCAUAUUGGUAUUUGUCUGAAUUGUAGCUUGUUUUUUUGCGGGUCUAGUUCAGAUUUUUGCCCUUUGGGCGGUUAUCGGUUUGUUAGCAGUAUAUGCUCGGUGUGGCGAAGUUAUUUUUCGUUGUAUAACGCAGCAUGCAUGGUUCACUCGUGGGCGGCUGCUCGACAAAUACGGUCGCCUCUUUUCUGUGUGUGUUUAAGGAUCGCUUACACUUGUGGUUUUAGUUACAG